CCUACGGGGUGCUGCAGUGAGGAAUAUUGGUCAAUGGGCUUACGCCUGAACCAGCCAAGUCGCGUGAGGGAAGACUGCCCUAUGGGUUUUAAACCUCUUUUUUCAGGGAGCAACUCCGGCUAUGUGUAGCCUGACUGCCAGUACCCUAAGUAAAAGCAUCCGCUAACUCCGUGCCAGCAGCCGCGUUAAUACGGAUGAUGCGAGCGUUAGCCGGAUUUAUUGGGUUUAAAGGGUGCGUAGGUGGUUAAUUAAGUCAGCGGUGAAAGUUUGUGGCUCAACCAUAAAAUUGCCGUUGAAACUGGUUGACUUGAGUAUAUUUGAGGUAGGGGGAAUGCGUGGUGUAGCGGUGAAAUGCAUAGAUAUCACGAAGAAUUCCGAUUGCGAAGGCAGCUUACUAAACUAUAACUGACACUGAAGCACGAAAGCGUGGGGAUCAAACAGGAUUAGAGACCCGAGUAGUC
rnacentral:rRNA from 1 species